rnacentral:ncRNA from 1 species
UACCUGAUUGAUUCUGUCAGCGCGAUAUGCUCAAGUAAAAGAUUAAGCCAUGCAUGCUUUGAUUCAUAAAUGAAAUUGCGUACGGCUCAUUAGAGCAGAUAUCACCUUUCUCGGAAUACCUGAAAAGGAUAACUGCGGAAAUUCUGGAGCUAAUACAUGCGACUAUACUCCAACGCAAGGCGGGGUGCAAUUAUUAGAACAGACCAAACGUUUUCGGACGUUGUUUGUUGACUCUGAAUACCGUCGUUUACUGUCAGUUUCGACUGACUCUAUCCGAGAAGGGUGUCUGCCCUUUCAACUAGAUGGUAAUCUAUUGGACUACCAUGGUUGUUACGGGUAACGGAGAAUUAGGGUUCGACUCCGGAGAGGGAGCCUUAGAAACGGCUACCACGUCCAAGGAAGGCAGCAGGCGCGAAACUUAUCCACUGUUGAGUAUGAGAUAGUGACUAAAAAUAUAAAGACUCAUCCUUUUGGAUGAGUUAUUUCAAUGAGUUGAAUAUAAAUUAUUCUUCGAGUAGCAAGGAGAGGGCAAGUCUGGUGCCAGCAGCCGCGGUAAUUCCAGCUCUCCUAGUGUAUCUCGUUAUUGCUGCGGUUAAAAAGCUCGUAGUUGGAUCUAGGUUACGUGCCGCAGUUCGCAAUUUGCGUUAACUGUGGUCGUGACUUCUAAUUUGCUGGUUUGAGGUUGGGUUCGCCCUUCAACUGCCAGCAGGUUUACCUUGAAUAAAUCAGAGUGCUCAAUACAGGCGCUUGCUUGAAUAGCUCAUCAUGGAAUAAUGAAACAGGACUUCGGUUCUUUUU